UACGUAGGGUGCGAGCGUUGUCUGGAAUUACUGGGCGUAAAGAGCUCGUAGGCGGUUUGUCGCGUCGUCCGUGAAAACUUGGGGCUCAACCCCAAGCUUGCGGGCGAUACGGGCAGACUUGAGUACUGCAGGGGAGACUGGAAUUCCUGGUGUAGCGGUGAAAUGCGCAGAUAUCAGGAGGAACACCGGUGGCGAAGGCGGGUCUCUGGGCAGUAACUGACGCUGAGGAGCGAAAGCGUGGGUAGCAAACAGG
rnacentral:rRNA from 1 species